rnacentral:rRNA from 1 species
UACGUAGGGUGCAAGCGUUGUCCGGAAUUAUUGGGCGUAAAGAGCUCGUAGGCGGUCUGUUGCGUCGGCUGUGAAAACCCGGGGCUCAACUCCGGGCCUGCAGCCGAUACGGGCAGACUAGAGUUCGGCAGGGGGAGACUGGAAUUCCUGGUGUAGCGGUGAAAUGCGCAGAUAUCAGGAGGAACACCGGUGGCGAAGGCGGAUCUCUGGGCCAUUACUGACGCUGAGGAGCGAAAGCGUGGGGAGCGAACAGG